CAACGAGCAACACGGCAGACCACUGCCC
rnacentral:sRNA from 1 species